UGUCUGAAUCAUCUGAUUUCACUUUUCAGUAAAUGUAACAACAACUAGUUGUGAUUCAGAGCUCAGAAAAUGUCAAGCGUUGUGAGUUAUAGUUUACUGUUGAUGAUCUGUUUCAGCUACUCAUUACAAGAUCCACAUUUGAAAGUUACGAUGGUAAAUGGACAUGUUGGGGGAAACGUCAACAUCCAGUGUGCUACUGAAGACAAGAAUCAGGAUGGGGUUUACAUGUAUAGAAUGAAACCAGAAGAAACAAAACCACAGAGAAUCUUCUUCUUUUAUUAUGACGGCACUUUUGAUCUUAAUGAAGAUGCAAAUGUCAAAAUAAUAAGAAGUGGUACGUUUCCCGGCUUCACCAUCACUUUCUUAAACCUGACUGUGACAGACAGCGCCCAGUACUGGUGUGAAUUCAAUCAAGAAGAAAAAAAUCACAUUUAGCAUGUUCACAUGUUUAUCAGUGACGGAUCAGUAACACCUGAUGGAGGCCCAUAACUGUGCCCUGUAUAAUACAAUGACUUACUGUCCAGGGACACGAGCCUCUUAUAAAGAACUUCACAAAAUCUCUUCACAUUUUGACCAUGUGUCUAUUCAGAGGAUACCAGAGCAAUAAAAAAGCUCCACAUGUUUUUAAACUACACAUGGGUGACUAUUUAUUUAAAACAGUCAUGUUGCAUCCCAUUCAUUUUGACUAUUGAUUCAAUAUAGUUUCAAAUAAAAACAA